GAUGAACGCUGGCGGCGUGCCUAAUACAUGCAAGUCGAGCGAACAGACGAGGAGCUUGCUCCUCUGACGUUAGCGGCGGACGGGUGAGUAACACGUGGAUAACCUACCUAUAAGACUGGGAUAACUUCGGGAAACCGGAGCUAAUACCGGAUAAUAUAUUGAACCGCAUGGUUCAAUAGUGAAAGACGGUUUUGCUGUCACUUAUAGAUGGAUCCGCGCCGCAUUAGCUAGUUGGUAAGGUAACGGCUUACCAAGGCAACGAUGCGUAGCCGACCUGAGAGGGGGACCGGCCACCCGGGAACUGACACAGGGCCCAGACCCCUCCGGGAGGCAGAGUUAGGGACUCUUCCGCAAUGGGCGAAAGCCUGACGGAGCAACGCCGCGUGAGUGAUGAAGGUCUUCGGAUCGUAAAACUCUUUUAUUAGGGAAAAACAAAUGUGUAAGUAACUAUGCACGUCUUGACGGUACCUAAUCAGAAAGCCACGCCUAACUACGUG
rnacentral:rRNA from 1 species